UCAGAAGGCUGGAGGAUUACGCGAUGCGCUUUGAUGUCGUGAGGAAAGUCCGGGCUUUAUGGGAAAAAAGGUGCUGGAUAACGUCCAGCCAGGGUGACCUGAGGGAAAGUGCCACAGAAAGCAAACCGCCCUUUCAAAGGGUAAGGGUGAAAGGGUGCGGUAAGAGCGCACCGCGCACCUCGCGAGAGGUGUGGCAGGGUAAACCCCACCUAAAGCAAGGCUAUGUAGGCAUCUUCGUCAUGGGCGCUUGCGUUCAUGACCAGUGCUUUUCCACACUGCGCAAGAUGCGGGUCAGCUGCACAAGGCGUUUGGUAACAGACGUCUCAGAUAAAUGAUCCUCGCUCUUUCAUAAAGAGUACAGAACCCGGCUUAUAGGCCUUCUGACAAC
rnacentral:RNase_P_RNA from 1 species